rnacentral:rRNA from 1 species
GCUUGUCUCAAAGAUUAAGCCAUGCAUGUCUAAGUACAAGCCUCAGUAAGGUGAAACCGCGAAUGGCUCAUUAAAUCACACCUAAUCUACUGGAAAGUUACUAGUUACUUGGAUAACUGAGGUAAUUCUUGAGCUAAUACAUGCGAAAAAUCUCGACUCACGGAGAGAUGCUUUUAUUAGAUCAAAACCAAACGGCUUCGGCCGUCUCAUUGGUGACUCUGGAUAACUUUGUGCUGAUCGCAUGGCCUCGAGCCGGCGACGUAUCUUUCAAAUGUCUGCCCUAUCAACUUUCGAUGGUAAGCGAUUUGCCUACCAUGGUUGUAACGGGUAACGGGGAAUCAGGGUUCGAUUCCGGAGAGGGAGCAUGAGAAAUGGCUACCACAUCUAAGGAAGGCAGCAGG